rnacentral:sRNA from 1 species
UCCUAGCCCUGAUAGAAGCGGUAUCCUUUUUCUGGCUUCUUUAGACAGAAAAAGAUACAAGCGGAUAGCAGGAAAUAGC